rnacentral:rRNA from 1 species
AAACCGUUCAGGGGUAAACCUGUGAAACCCAAAAGAUCGAAUGGGAGAUUCAUCGUCAGCGUAUUCAGUAUUAAUGCAGGCUAUGAUGUGAUAAUAGAAUCCUCGUGGUCACUAGAUUAUACUUGCUUGUUUAUUUUUGCUGGGUGUGUCGGCGUGCACUUCUCCUCUAGUAGAACGUCGCAACCCGUUGGAUGUUUAUCUAUGGCCUGAUUNGGUAGCCUUUGAUAUAAUUUUAUAUUGAGACCUUUUGGUGUCCGUAAACUGUCUGACGGUAUACNAUAUAGUAUUGAGCCGCAAUUAUUUGCGUUAGACUUGCUGCAAGAAGGCUUUAUUNCUG